rnacentral:rRNA from 1 species
UGGGGAAUUUUGGACAAUGGGCGAAAGCCUGAUCCAGCAAUGCCGCGUGUGUGAAGAAGGCCUUCGGGUUGUAAAGCACUUUUGUCCGGAAAGAAAUCCUUGGCUCUAAUACAGUCGGGGGAUGACGGUACCGGAAGAAUAAGCACCGGCUAACUACGUGCCAGCAGCCGCGGUAAUACGUAGGGUGCAAGCGUUAAUCGGAAUUACUGGGCGUAAAGCGUGCGCAGGCGGUUUGCUAAGACCGAUGUGAAAUCCCCGGGCUCAACCUGGGAACUGCAUUGGUGGCUGGCAGGCUAGAGUAUGGCAGAGGGGGGUAGAAUUCCACGUGUAGCAGUGAAAUGCGUAGAGAUGUGGAGGAAUACCGAUGGCGAAGGCAGCCCCCUGGGCCAAUACUGACGCUCAUGCACGAAAGCGUGGGGAGCAAACAGGAUUAGAUACCCUGGUAGUCCACGCCCUAAACGAUGUCAACUAGUUGUUGGGGAUUCAUUUCCUUAGUAACGUAGCUAACGCGUGAAGUUGACCGCCUGGGGAGUAAC